UACGUAGGUGGCAAGCGUUGUCCGGAUUUACUGGGCGUAAAGAGCGCGCAGGCGGUCGUUCAAGUCGCGUGUGAAAGCCCCCGGCUCAACUGGGGAGGGUCACGCGAUACUGAUCGACUCGAAGGCAGGAGAGGGAAGUGGAAUUCCCGGUGUAGAGGUGAAAUUCGUAGAUAUCCGGAGGAACACCAGCGGCGAAGGCAGCCCCCUGGGUCAAAACUGACGCUCAUGCACGAAAGCGUGGGGAGCAAACAGG
rnacentral:rRNA from 1 species